AGCAGUCAGCUGGAUUGUGUGUGUGUGUGUGUGUGUGUGUGUGUGUGUGUACACACACACACACACACACACACACACACACACAGAGUAUACAUA